rnacentral:lncRNA from 1 species
ACACACACACUAUUUAUAAGAUUAGAUGAUGCAUGAUGGAGCUAAUAAGCAUUUUCUAAUCAUCUUCUCUCCCCAAAAAACCUGCAUAUAUUUCUCUUUUCAUUUGGAAGAUUUUGAAUUAUUGUGAGAUGGUUGAAGAUUUUCUGGUAGCAUAACCUUAGCAUGGACUGGUUCUUUGUACAAAUUUUUUGUAGUUACUCUUAUCUGUUGAAAGAAAGUUAUAAUAACUGGUAGAUGGCUUCUACAAUCAAUUCCAAGUCAGAAUUGUGACGAUGGAACUAAUCAAAAUUCUCUUUCCAUCAAUAUUUAAGCUUGAUUUCUAUUAAUCUGUUUCAGGUGAUUUCCUUGGGUAGAUCAUCGAAUUGGCUUGACUUCAGUUUCCUCAAGUGGGUUAUGGACAGGUGGGACUCCUUCGAUGUGGUAUUAAAUCACCUAAUCAUGCAGCUGGAGCAUCUUUGUUGAGGAGAAUAUGUACCUUCGAAUGGACUAGAAUUAUCUUGGCAGGAGAAAAACUAAAUAAAGAGAGAGCAUGAAGCACAUUAUGGUGCAAUCAUUUCUUUGGACAUUCUUUGCUCUCUUUUAAGAUGAGCUAUGGUGGAAUCAUUUCUCUAGACAUUCUUUAGUCUCUUUUAUAAUGAGUCGAUCCUAGAUCAUCAAGUGUGCUCUUUUUACAUGAAGACCCAGUAACCUUUAUGCCUUGUUUCUUUGGAAUGGUUGUUAAAUGUCCUUGUGGACCAGCAUAUUGCGAUCUAAAAGCGAGACAUAUAUUAGGUCCAAGCCUAAAAGGGAUUAAAGGACAAAAUGAG